rnacentral:rRNA from 1 species
UGCGGAUGACGUCAAGGUCAGCAUGACCUUUAUAUCCAGGGCCUACACACACGGCUACAAUGGACAGUACAACAGGUUGCCAAGCCGCGAGGCGGAGCCAAGUCCUCUAAAGCUGUCCUCAGUUCAGAUUGCAGGCUGCAACUCGCCUGCAUGAAGUUGGAGUUGCUAGUAACCGCAGGUCAGCUAUACUGCGGUGAAUACGUUCCCGGGGAUU